rnacentral:rRNA from 1 species
GUGCCAGCAGCCGCGGUAAGACAGAGGUGCCAAGCGUUAGGCGGAAUCACUGGGCUUAAAGCGUGUGUAGGCGGAUUUGUAAGUACCUUGUGAAAUCCCACGGCUCAACCGUGGAACUGCUCGGUAUACUGCUUAUCUUGAGCCACUUAGGGGCUACCGGAACAAAUGGUGGAGCGGUGAAAUGCGUAGAUAUCAUUUGGAACGCCAAUGGUGAAAACAGGUAGCUGGGAGUGUGCUGACGCUGAGACACGAAAGCCAGGGGAGCGAACGGGAUUAGAUACCCCCGUAGUCC